rnacentral:rRNA from 1 species
AGGACGAACGCUGGCGGCGUGCUUAACACAUGCAAGUCGAGCGAGCCCCACCUUUCGGGGUGGUGUGCUAGCGGCGAACGGGUGAGUAACACGUGGGCAACCUGCCCUCAGCUCUGGGAUAACUCCAAGAAAUUGGGGCUAAUACCGGAUAUGACUGCUGACCGCAUGGUCUGGUGGUGGAAAGAUUUAUCGGCUGGGGAUGGGCCCGCGGCCUAUCAGCUUGUUGGUGGGUAGUGGCCUACCAAGGCGACGACGGGUAGCCGGCCUGAGAGGGUGACCGGCCACACUGGGACUGAGACACGGCCCAGACUCCUACGGGAGGCAGCAGUGGGAAUAUUGCGCAAUGGGCGGAAGCCUGACGCAGCGACGCCGCGUGGGAUGACGGCUUCGGUUGUAAACUCUUCAGCAGGACGAAGCGAAAGUGACGUACCUGCAGAAGGAGACGACCGGCCAACGUACGUGCCAGCAGCCGC